rnacentral:tRNA from 1 species
AAGCACCACAAAAGGUGCCCCGGCG